UCCCUACCGGAACCUGAUUUCCACGUUGGUAAUAUCAGCCUUCAAUCUGGCUGUCAACACGGAGAAGACUGCCUUGUGGAAGUGAAUCACGACUUUGGAACGUAUCCCAGCCUUGUAGUAGUGCGGACUCGGCUUGAUGACUUCUCCUUGACGAAUCAUUCUUUGAUGUCUGACGCCAUUGGCUCAGGGUUCAUUUUCGCAAAUACUGACGAAGUCGGUCUGCAUCACGGAUUUGUGGUUUAUGGUUUCAACGAGUCGGCAUUCAGAAUUUGGACAGAAUCACAGCGGUAUACUCAGCACUAUAUUUUCUGUGGAAAAGACGGUACAGGGUUUGGUAUUUGUGUGAGUAAUGGAACGCUAGAAAUUCUUGCUUGGAAGGAGUUUACAUUGUCACCAACGGAGAAGAUGGAAAUGCUUCUUGGGGCACAGGCUAAUGAAACAUUUGACCAGGAAAAAUUCAUGUCAGCGAAAACAAGUGGACGCGAAUAUUUCGUUCAACUUUGGGCAGUUGCCCGCAGUGGACCCAAUAACAACUUCCGGUUUCUAGCCAGCGGUUCCAUGUCAGGAUAUAGACUCGGCAAAGUAACUCCAUGUACCUAUGGUGGACUCGUAUUCGCAUAUUCAAACACAACGCUAAGACUUUGGAAGCCAAACAGCUUUGCCAAAAGGGCUGCAAUCAUUUGCAUCUCAGACGUUUUUGCAGGCGGUAAAUACUCACAGAGCACGAAUGAUGCGUUUGCGGUUGCCCACGUAUGGAUUACUUUAGACCACACAUUGCACGAGGAAUGCACUACCUCUCGUGAUUGUUGGGAUGCAUUUUCCACAUGCAGAGAUUUAACAUGCUAAUGUGAGGCCGGAUUUACUGAAACACACCAAGACACAAACCAUACGACCACAGGAUGUUAUGUUGACGGAGAAUGUAAUCACGCAAAUGAAACUGCUGGCGACUGCAUACGAUGUCAUCUGCCCUUUGACGCAUGUCACUGGCCCGGUGGCCCAGCUCCUAAUACGCACACUACUACAAUAGUCAUUUCAGCCUUGGUUAGACUCUAUAUUAUCAUUGGUGGCUCCGCUGCGGGUUUGCUUACACUGGUGACCAUAGUUACUUUCCUGUGUCUCCGACAGCGAAAGCGCAAGGCAGCCCGUUUAAAUCGUUAUGAGCUGAUGCAGGCGUUGUAGUGAUUGACAACCGCCAUUAUCAGACAUGCAACGUCGCUGUUGAUGACAAGCAAAUGCAAGUCGUGAUAAACGCUUGGUUUUGUAAAAUUUCAUGGUACAUAUAUGUACAAACAUUUGCGUGUAUUAACAAAGAUAAUUCACCAGUUUGGAUUUUAAAUAAAUAUAUUUGUAAAUGAACAAUUCUUUAUUUUAUUUAUUGAACUUUGGUCCACUAUAGUCGUGAUAAACGCUUGGUUUUGUAAAAUCUCAUUGUACAUAUAUAUAGUUCUAUACA